UACGUAGGUGGCAAGCGUUGUCCGGAUUUAUUGGGUUUAAAGGGUGCGUAGGCGGUUCUAUAAGUCAGUGGUGAAAUCCGGCAGCUCAACUGUCGAUGUGCCAUUGAUACUGCAGAACUUGAGUACAGACGAGGUAGGCGGAAUUGACGGUGUAGCGGUGAAAUGCUUAGAUAUCGUCAAGAACACCGAUAGCGAAGGCAGCUUACUAGACUGUAACUGACGCUGAUGCACGAAAGUGUGGGGAUCAAGCAGG
rnacentral:rRNA from 1 species